UUGAGUAUCCAACCAAAACUGUAGAUUCAAAGUCAAGCAUGCUCGGGCGAGAGUAGUACUAGAAAGGAUGACCUCCUGGGAAGUCCUCGUCUUGCACCAC
rnacentral:rRNA from 2 species